rnacentral:rRNA from 1 species
GACGAACGCUGGCGGCGUGCCUAAUACAUGCAAGUAGAACGCACAGUUUAUACCGUAGCUUGCUACACCAUAGACUGUGAGUUGCGAACGGGUGAGUAACGCGUAGGUAACCUGCCUGGUAGCGGGGGAUAACUAUUGGAAACGAUAGCUAAUACCGCAUAAUAUUAAUUAUUGCAUGAUAAUUAAUUGAAAGGUGCAAUUGCACCACUACCAGAUGGACCUGCGUUGUAUUAGCUAGUAGGUGAGGUAACGGCUCACCUAGGCGACGAUACAUAGCCGACCUGAGAGGGUGAUCGGCCACACUGGGACGGAGACACGGCCCAGACGCCUACGGGAGGCAGCAGGAGGGAAUCUUCGGCAAUGGACGAAAGUCUGACCGAGCAACGCCGAGGGAGGGAAGAAGGGUGUCGGAUCGGAAAGCUCUGUUGUAAGAGAAGAACGGGUGUGAGAGUGGAAAGUUCACAGUGUGACGGUAUCUGACCAGAAAGGGACGGCUAACUACGUG